rnacentral:lncRNA from 1 species
GCCCGCCGGGUUCCCUCAGCCAACCAGCCGGGCUGAGCGAGCAGCACUCGCAACUCUUCUCGGGUGGCCGGAAGUAAACACACAAGCCUUUCCUACACCAUUUUCCCCGCCCCUCCCUCUCCAAGGCCCGGCUACGGCAACCCGGAAGUGACCCCUUUCUUAAAGGUUCUUGGGAAAUGUAGUCCAGCCACAAACUCAAAGCAAAAAAGAGAGAGAGGGGUGGGUGGACCGUGCAGGCAAAAAGGGGAGGCUGCGUUGUAACAGCUUACCCUCCCUGCUGCAAAGCUGCUGUGAGCUUGGAAGAGAAACUGGUUGAAAUCAGUGUAGGUGAAGAUUUUGUUACAUGUUUUCUGAGUGUUCAGAAACCUUCCAAACCAAAAUCAUCUUCUCAAGUGUGGAGAUUUAAAAAUAGAAGACGUCCAGAUUUCUCACAGCUUCCCAUACUCCCAUGUUGCUUUUGUCUCAUUUAUGUACUGAGAGAGAUUAAUAUUAUGGAAUACCAUAGAUUUAUUGCAACUGACAAAAAGUAUUAAGAAUAUGUUGUAGUCCUGUGAACAGAUCAUACUGUUUCCUUCUGCAAGUAUAAUAGCAUUGGAAUCCAGCCAGUGGGAACUGGUGGCUGCAACAUCAGUAAACUGUGCCAAGAUUUGGUCCAGAUUUUAAAGUGGCUAUCCAAGGUGCUGAACCCUCUUCCCAAAAUAAGUUCGUCACCUUAGAUGGGUUCUCUAAAGUACAAACUUAAACCUAUUAAUGAUUCACCAAUCUCUACUGAAUUCAGUGCAUAUUUAAUUGGGAAUAAAUCUUGUUGAAAUCCAUGGGGCCUACUUCA